GCCGGAAUCGCUAGUAAUCGCGGAUCAGAAUGCCGCGGUGAAUACGUUCCCGGGUCUUGUACACACCGCCCGUCACCCAUGGGAGUCGGGAAUGCCCGAAGUCUGUGACCCAACCUUAGGGAGGGAGCAGCCGAAGGCAGGUCGGAUGACUGGGGUGAAGUCGUAACAAGGUAGC
rnacentral:rRNA from 1 species